CGGCUGGUUACUGGACACAAGGCCGCAGCAGCUGCGCAGGACGUUUGUCAGCUCUGCCAGCAGUCGCCCAGCCUGGUUCCAAAUCAUGCUGCUCAGCUUCACACUCUCUUGGGACGUAGCAA